UGAAAUUUCUCAACAGUUGAAAAAAAAAGUUGUUCGGUUGUUCAAAAAAAAAAGUUCGUUUGUAAGCGAAAUUACAUGGAAUUUUUUUAUAAAAAAAUCAUGCAUAGAAAAGAAAAAAAGAUCUAAGAAAGUCACUUGUACUUUCCUUUUAUUCAAUAAUAUUUAACCUUUUUCUCCAAUAUUAAUUUCAUGAAGAAUCCUUUCACACGUAUUCUUUCUCAACCAGCCACAUGUGCUUCCCUUUUAUUCAAUAUAAUAUUAAGAAUCUCAUGUCUUACUAAUAAUUUUUCUUCAUAAAUUAUUGGUGCAGAAAAAGCAAUAUAAUAUAUCGAAUGAUUUAGUUCUUGGUGCCAUUGGGUUAAGUCUCUACAUAAUUAUUUAAUUUUCAAUAACGUAUUUGUUUUAUAAUGCACUUUAUAUAUUUUUGUUCAUAUAUUUCAGUUGUUUAUUUGUAUGUAUUUUUUGUUCGUUAUAUUAACAAUCUUUGAAAAAUCUUCAAAAUAAAAAUAUGUUAUGCUACUUCGAAUAGAGCUAUAUGAAAUUUCUCAAUUUUUGAAGAUAUUGAAGGAAAAACCCAUACAUAUGUAAUGUGCUGAUCCUACUUAUUCCACAAAAGUGAAAUUUAAUUUUUUUUUCUUUUUUUAAUACAUUGCAUGAUGUUAUUUUACUGAUGAUGGAUCUGCAUAAGUCAAGAAAGGAUGGGCUGGGCUAUGGAAGAAUAAGUCCGUCCAAUUUAGAACAUGGAAAUUACCCAAAUGAAAAUAUGUUAUGCUACUUUGAAUAGAGGUAUAUGAAGAUAUUAAAGGAAAAAACCAUACAUAUAUAAUAUGUUGAUCAUGCUUAUUCCACAAAAGUGAAAUUUAAUUGUUUCCUUUUUAAUACAUUCUGUAAUAUUAUUUUACUCAUGAUGGAUCAGCAUAAGUCGAGAAACGAUGGGCUGGGUCAUGGAAGAAUAAGUCCAUCCAGUUUAGAACAUGGAAAUUACCCUCUGUAUAUAGAUUUAUGUUGUCUAUUUCAGCAUAAUGCCAGUUUUUUGUUGUGGGUAAUUCAUUUUCUAUCAAGUUAAAUGGUUGAACUUAGGUAAUGUAUAUAUCUAAAAAAUUAUUUCUUCAGUAUAUCUUAUUGUCAACAAAAAUAAUGCAUUCAUCACAAAUGAUUUUCCUUAUUUUGCUACAUGACUUAAAGCAUGCAAAAUAUUCUUUAAAUUGAUUGAAAAGAAUUGCACAUUGUGUUAUUUCCAAUUGGUAAUUGUAGGCAUAAACUGGAUAAAAUUUCAAAGCAAUUCGAAGUGCUGGAAUAAAAUCCAUGCAUAUGUGCAUAAUACUUAUGUAAGAAAGAUAAUGUUUAGUUAUUUUACAAAUAACAAAAUUGCCAUCAACCAAAAUGGGAUAGAUUGUGUAGCCUAAGGUGACUAAGGGUGAUUCAGGUUGGAUCUUGAAAGGUGACCUAUUGGACUUUCAAGUUGCCUGGUCUAUCUAAUGUCAUGUUGGUUGUGAGUCAAACCUACAUAGACUUUUCUUUUAUUCCAUUCUUAAUACUUUCUACUUUUAUUAGAACUUUUCCUUCUUAUAGUAUCUUUUUUGGCAGUUCAGCAUCAAAGUUGGGACAAGUUAGCUAAAUCAAAUCAUGUCAAAGACUUUCUUGCUAGGUGCAAUAAAGUUUUAUAUGUCAUGAUGGAUUAGGUUAAACCAUGACUAGAUGAGUUGAGCUAUUUAAAAUUAAGUCCAAAUUAGAUAUACAUGGUAGGCCAUAGUUGUACUGGGAUUGUAAAUAUAAAUAUUUAAAAUGAAUCUAUUCGCAUGCAACGAGUGGCAAUAUUUACAUUAUUAUAUUAUGCGAAAAGGAGAAAGUAUUGGAAGUGAAAUUCUUUCUCUCCUCUUUCUCAAAAAUCUAGAAAAGGGGAUAAAAUCAUAAUAUUUUGCUUGAUUUAAGGUCAACCGGGGCGUCGAAAAUACAGGGUAUUUAUUUCCCUACAUCUUUUUCAUUGUACGUCUGCCCCUUUUCCCGCCUCUCCUCAUUGUCAUCAUUAGAUUUUUUUUUUGAUAAUAUUUCUUGCAUUUUUUUGAUAUUAAUAUUUUUUAUUAACUAGGUCCCAAGUAUGAUAUGCUUUGGUUAUUUUUUCAGAGAAACUUGCAAUGCUGAUAUUAGGUUUCAUAUUCUAAUCUAUUCAAAGAUGCUAAGGUAGCUUUAUGUUGCACAAUUUUAUCAUUUCUCUAUAUUUUUUUUACUUUGAAGAUUUAGUUUUUCUAAUAAUUAGCUCAUCAUCAUUAUAGAUAGGAAAAAUUAAAAUAAUCGUGGAUAACCAAGAUUUCAAAUCUUAGACACGAUGUAUUAGUGACUAACUCUUCUUCUUUAAGUGACAAUUAGCAUAUAGAUUACAUAACAGGGGGGUUUAAUUAAAUAGUGUAUAGACUAUUGGACACAAUCUUGAUGUAUAUCAUUCGAUUCGACUCCGCAUCUUGUUUUGUAUUUCCACCUAAUUACAAAUUUUGUAUUUCUUGCAUUCUUCAAUCAUUUUAUUAAAUAAUUUAUCAUUCCCAUGAGUGCUAUAUUUUUAUUAAUGAAAUUUUGAAAUUAAAAUGAUCGAUAAUUAUAAAAUGCGUUGCACCUAUAAUAUAUUUUUUAUUUUAUUUUUUGAAAAGUUAUUUAUUCUUCUAUUAGGUAAAUUUAUAUUUAAAUUUUUAUUAUCUUCUCCGCGCAUUGUGCGGGUAUGAACUCUUCAGGAUGACUGAGUACUUUGAUACAAAUUUGAGUUUGUCGCUUGAGUAUUACAGCAUAUUCUUCUGAUGGGAGGAUGAAUUUUCAGUAUCAUUUGGUUUGUCUCUUCAUUGCUGUGUCUCGCUAAUUAAUUGGACUUUUGAGGACACAUACUAAGCAAUGAACUAGGUUCUAACAUUUAUUAAUUUUUGAACAUGUGUAUAUUAGCGUAAAGCUAAAACCCAUCCGUGAAUGAUUCAACCUGCAUUGUCUUCUAGUCAAACUAAACCACUAGUUGACCUCCAAAACCAUGGGGUCGACAUCAGCAGUAAGAGUCUUUAAAAAAGUGGAGCCUUAGAAAUAUAAGGUUUCAAGAAAGAUAAAACUGGAUGGCUUAGCCUGGUAUGAACUCUUCAGGAUGACUGAGUACUUUGAUACAAAUUUGAGUUUGUCGCUUGAGUAUUACAGCAUAUUCUUCUGAUGGGAGGAUGAAUUUUCAGUAUCAUUUGGUUUGUCUCUUCAUUAUAACAUGCAAAGAAGAAUUUUAGAGAUGCUAGAUUAAAGGAAAAAUAAGGAUAAAAAAAUUUAAGGUAAGUUGUGUAUUUAUUCUUUACUUCUGGAAUUAUAAAACAAAAGAUUUAUGGUCUGAGAAAUGGGCAUGCAUAAGCAUAAUGGUGACAUACCAUAAGCAAUGUUAGAGCCAUUAGUUUCUAGAGGUUGGGAAAAACGGGGUACUAUAACUUUGAUAUGCUAGCCAAUUUUCUUAUCUUGUUUGAGAAAAUUUACUGAGAUCAUUUCUUGACAAGUUUAAGGAAAGAAAAGGUAAGAGUGGAAAGUCAAGCUCUUCCCCUUUUUUGGGUAAACCAAAGUCAAACUUAUUUGACGGAGAUUUUUGACCAUGGAAUGGUCGUCAGACCACCAACUUGGUUUCUGUUGAUUAUUAUAUAACUGAAUGUUAGUAUCUUUUGCAAAAUCAGUUGUUUGGUAUUCCAUCAAAUGCAGGAUUAUUCAAGCACCUUUUCUGAUCUCUGUUUUUCACAAAACUUUGCCCACGAAAGCUCCAAACCACAUGAGAAUAUCCAAUCUUCAGAAAUACAAUCACAUACUUAGGAGUCUUUGCUGACUGAAUGUGCUUCCAAAAAGCUUUUUCUGAUGAUCAAGUUGUCAGGGAAGGAGAUUCUUUGCCAGAGAUAAGACCACUCCUACAGUUUUCAAGUCAGUCAAUCCAGGGAGGAGGGCAUCACCAGAAGUCAUAAAGUUAUGGAAGGAAAAAGGCCUUAGAAGCUUGAUGGUUGCUGCUCCAGAACUGGAGGUGGGGAGCUUAGUUCAAGAUCUGCUGCCACUUAUUAUCAUAUUCUGCACCAUUUGCAAUUUAUCACCAAUGCCAUCAGAGACUCCAAACUGCAAGAAUGGCCAUUGGAUUGCAAAUUUGAGAGCCUUGCUUCGUGAAUAUCAGGUCAGACUUUCUAAUGUGGUUAAAAUAGAGAGCCAUUUAUCCCACUGUUAACAUGUAAGUGUAUAUGCACAUUCAUUAGCAUGAGGUGCAACUUAGAUCACUUGAAGCAGUAAUGUGCAUGUACAUUUUUAUUUUUUUUUCCUUGGUAUCGUCUCUCCAUUUUGCCUAUAAUUUUCGUUCAUGCUAAAGGCACGCAUCUUUAGUUCAAAUCAGCAAGAUUAGCCAUCAGAUUUGAGACACUUACUUUCAGCAAAAAAUGUUCUUUCAUCAUGUUAUUUAUAGAUUAUUAUGCUUGUUAAGACGUAAGUCAUUGAAUUAAUUGCUGUCCGCUGCAUUUGUUCUGCUAACAUCAGCAGAUUUAGAACUAUUGUAUUUGCUCAGAUGUCAACUGAUGCAAUCAGGAUCUUACUACUUUGCAGGGCUAUUUUCAGACAUUUAGUAAUGAUGCCAGCCCCCUUAUAGGUCGAAGGCAUUUUUCAUUAGCUUUCUUGUGUGAUACCAUCCAGUCACUGUUUUGUACAGAACUUUCUCCAUAAUCUUGGGACAUUAGUGAGUGCGUCUCCAAGACUGAUUCUGUUGUUUUAGUGUGCGGUUAUUCUUCUGAUUUUUCUCUGAACUUCGUACACGAAACAGCCAUAGAGAAGCUUUCCAAUCGCUUAGGCCCAGUUGUGUUAAAAUAUGGGAAGUUCAUGGGCCAUGCUGAUUCAAUAACAUGCUUCUUCACCAUUAUGCAAUGAAACUUUAUACUUGACCUUGUUUUUUUGCGUUAAUUCUAGUGGACAUCUGUCAUCCACUAGAGUUUGUCUGGGAAAGAAAAACUGGCUAGUUUAGCUUGUGGUGCUAUAGGAGGUUUUUUUGGAUGUUUCUAUAUCUGUAGGAGCAAUGCAUAAAGCCUGGCAAUGUAAGUGAAAACAAGGUUCUUGACUUAAUACUUAUGGUAGGAAAUUUGCAUGUUAUCA